UUUUUUCUGCCCAUUUGCUAUCAAUGUUUUUUUUCUUCUUCUUUUUAGUCUAUGAUGUAUUACGAGAGAAUAUUGACUCAAUCUGACUUUUCUUCAUUGCAAAAUCCAGCAUCUGGUGUUAUGUCUGAACUAUUCAGAGGACAAUGCCAAUUGCUUUGAAUGCAGUCGGACGUGAGACACGGGUAUCAGGUGUCACAUUUGCACGCAGACUUCAACCAUCCCGUUUUACCAUGUCAGUACGGUUCAACGGCAACCGAGAGCAUCCAAAGCUUGAAAGCAGCGUGAAAGGGGCUAUAGUCGCUGAACAGAAAGAAAGUUGGAGACCUUCAACCACCCUCUGGAGGUUAAUUGAAGAACUGGAUGGAUGUCAGAAAAACACCAACAUCCAGUUUUUCCACAUUGCCUUUGUUUUUUGUUUUUUCUCCAUAAUCCAAAGACCAACAGCAACAAAAAUAAUCCAAGGCUCUGAGCUAAGUCUCUUUACAUUCUAAUCAGUGGCGGUUCUGGGGAGGGGCCAACAGGGGCCAGUACCCCAGUAGUACUGAUUCUGGACCCCCCUGUGUACCUCCCUCCGAACGUAGACUAUACAAUAGCGCCCAGUCGCCGACGCCAAAGGUGGAACUAAAGUGCCUGGUUUAACAUUCUAGUCGGACCUUUUAGUGCGCUACACCACUGCAAAAAGACAAGCGCGAAGAGGAGAAGUAGCCCCCAGAGAAGCAGUCCCAAGAUCACCACGACGACGAGUGAUGAUAUAUUGUCAAGACAUCAGCAAAUGUAAAGAAGCCCCGCCAAUGCAGAACGGAGUUUUUCCGCAUAUAAUCUUGG